rnacentral:rRNA from 1 species
UAGGGAAUCUUCCACAAUGGGCGCAAGCCUGAUGGAGCAACACCGCGUGAGUGAAGAAGGGUUACGGCUCGUAAAGCUCUGUUGUUAAAGAAGAACACGUAUGAGAGUAACUGUUCAUACGUUGACGGUAUUUAACCAGAAAGUCACGGCUAACUACGUGCCAG